UUUGUCCAAUGAAACACUUAUC
rnacentral:miRNA from 1 species